UCUACCCUCCAAAAGCAAUAUGAUAUCAGUGAGGUGAGUUCUUUCAAAUCUCAAUCAGAUGUGUAGCAUGAAAUAUAAGGCUUUUAAUAAUUUAGUCAUCCUAUCUGGAGGCUACAAUUAACAUGCAUCAAUAGGUCAUAUACCUUACUUUGUCUUCAGGUACUGCACUUACGGGGGGAGAUGGCUACAUCUUCACAAUAAUUUACACUGCCAUAGUACACUGCUAAACAGUACUGUAACAUGGAUUUGUAUCAGGCUAUGAAGUCAUUUAAAGCAUAACUUUACUUUUCAGGGGGACAUGCUCUCUAUCAGGAGGUGGUGGUGUGAGACCUCUGUUGGAGACCUUUAUGCUUGAAAGCCCUGCAGAACUAGCUGGCUCCUUCUCACCCUCUCCAUCUCCCCAUCUCAGUCACACCUUCCAAUCACUAAGCAGUGAAAGCCCUGCAGGACUAGCUGGCACACCAAGCUCACCCUCUCCAUCUCCCCAUGUCAGCCACACGCUCCAAUCUGGC